rnacentral:rRNA from 1 species
AACUGUGGUUAAGGAACUCGGCAAACUGCCCCCGUAACUUCGGGAGAAGGGGGGCCUCCGCUGGUGAUCAGACUUGCUUUGUGAGCUGGUGGGGGUCGCAGAGGCCAGGGGGAAGCGACUGUUUACUAAAAACACAGGUCCGUGCGAAGUCGUAAGACGAUGUAUACGGACUGACGCCUGCCCGGUGCUGGAACGUUAAGGGGACCGGUUAGCGGGACGUAAGUCCUGCGAGGCUGAGAACUUAAGCGCCAGUAAACGGCGGUGGUAACUAUAACCAUCCUAAGGUAGCGAAAUUCCUUGUCGGGUAAGUUCCGACCUGCACGAAUGGCGUAACGACUUCCCCGCUGUCUCAACCGCAGACCCGGCGAAAUUGCACUACGAGUAAAGAUGCUCGUUACGCGCAGCAGGACGGAAAGACCCCGGGACCUUCACUACAGCUUGACAUUGGCGUUUGGAACGUCUUGUGUAGGAUAGGUGGGAGACUGUGAAGCCGUCACGCUAGUGGUGGUGGAGUCAUUGGUGAAGUACCACUCUGGUCGUUUUGAACGUCUAACUUCGGUCCGUGAUCCGGAUCAGGGACAGUGUCUGGUGGGUAGUUUAACUGGGGCGGUUGCCUCCUAAAGAGUAACGGAGGCGCCCGAAGGUUCCCUCAGCCUGGUUGGUAAUCAGGUGUCGAGUGUAAGUGCACAAGGGAGCUUGACUGUGAGACCGACGGGUCGAGCAGGAGCGAAAGCUGGGACUAGUGAUCCGGCGGUGGCAUGUGGAAGCGCCGUCGCUCAACGGCUAAAAGGUACCCCGGGGAUAACAGGCUGAUCUUCCCCAAGAGUCCAUAUCGACGGGAUGGUUUGGCACCUCGAUGUCGGCUCGUCUCAUCCUGGGGCUGGAGUAGGUCCCAAGGGUUGGGCUGUUCGCCCAUUAAAGCGGUACGCGAGCUGGGUUUAGAACGUCGCGAGACAGUUCGGUCCCUAUCCGCUGCGCGCGCAGGAGACUUGAAAGGAGCUGUCCCUAGUACGAGAGGACCGGGACGGACGAACCUCUGGUGUGCCAGUUGUUCCGCCAGGAGCAUGGCUGGUUGGCUACGUUCGGGAGGGAUAACCGCUGAAAGCAUCUAAGCGGGAAGCUCGCCUUGAGAUGAGGUCUCCCACCACGUGAGUGGGUAAGGCCCCCGGGAGACGACCGGGUUGAUAGGCCGGAGGUGGAAGCACGGUAACGUGUGGAGCUGACCGGUACUAAUAGGCCGAGGACUUGACCAC